CCUAGUAACGGCGAGUGAAGCGGGAAAAGCUCAAAUUUGAAAUCUGGCAGUUCUGCUGUCCGAGUUGUAGUCUAAAGAAGUGUUUUCUGUGCUGGACCAUGUACAAGUCUCUUGGAAUAGAGCGUCAUAGAGGGUGAGAAUCCCGUCUUUGACAUGGACUACCAGUGCUAUAUGAUGCGCUUUCAAAGAGUCGAGUUGUUUGGGAAUGCAGCUCAAAAUGGGUGGUAAAUUCCAUCUAAAGCUAAAUACAGGCGAGAGACCGAUAGCGAACAAGUACCGUGAGGGAAAGAUGAAAAGCACUUUGGAAAGAGAGUAAAACAGUACGUGAAAUUGUUGAAAGGGAAACGCUUGAAGUCAGUCGUGUCUGCAGGGACUCAGCUUGGCUUUUGCCUAGUGUACUUUCCUGUUGACAGGCCAGCAUCAAUUUUGACUGGCAGACAAAGGCUGGAGAAAUGUGGCAGCUUGCUGUGUUAUAGUCUCUAGUUGUAUGUGUCAGUUGGGAUUGAGGAAUCCGGUAUGCAAGUACCUGGGAUGUUGGCGUAAUGGCUUUAAACGACCCGUCUUGAAACACGGACCAAGGAGUGUAACAUGCUCGCGAGUGUUUGGGUGGAAAACCCGAGCGCGUAAUGAAAGUGAAAGUUGAGAUCUUCCUUGUGGAGAGCAUCGACGCCCGAGCCUGAUGUUUUCGGACGGCCUUGCGGUAGAGCGAGUAUGUUGCGACCCGAAAGAUGGUGAACUAUUCCUGAGGAGGGCGAAGCCAGAGGAAACUCUGGUGGAGGCUCGUAGCGUUUCUGACGUGCAAAUCGAUCGCAGGACUUGG
rnacentral:rRNA from 1 species